rnacentral:misc_RNA from 1 species
GGAGGACAUUACCGAGUUAUUCAACUCAUCAACCCUGUGAACAUACCUAAACGUUGCUUCGGCGGGAAUAGACGGCCCCGUGAAACGGGCCGCCCCCGCCAGAGGACCCUUAACUCUGUUUCUAUAAUGUUUCUUCUGAGUAAAACAAGCAAAUAAAUUAAAACUUUCAACAACGGAUCUCUUGGCUCUGGCAUCGAUGAAGAACGCAGCGAAAUGCGAUAAGUAAUGUGAAUUGCAGAAUUCAGUGAAUCAUCGAAUCUUUGAACGCACAUUGCGCCCGCCAGUAUUCUGGCGGGCAUGCCUGUUCGAGCGUCAUUACAACCCUCAGGCCCCCGGGCCUGGCGUUGGGGAUCGGCGGAGCCCCCCGUGGGCACACGCCGUCCCCCAAAUACAGUGGCGGUCCCGCCGCAGCUUCCAUCGCGUAGUAGCUAACACCUCGCGACUGGAGAGCGGCGCGGCCACGCCGUAAAACACCCAACUCUUCUGAAGUUGACCUCGAAUCAGGUAGGAAU